UCUUAAUGGUGCAAAACAAUGUCGUUCUUUCCUAUGAUGCAGGCAUGGUGCAGGGUCCUGGUGGAUGAUUUAUAAUUAUUCAUGGACCGAAAAUAGUGUUAAGGGAAGAGAUUUGCAUGCUCCAGAUGACACAGAGUCACAGCUGAAUACUAUAACCCCAGAAAAAGUAACUCCUGAAAUGGCAGAAAUCUGUAUGAAAUGUGCAAAGAAAGUGUUUUAAGAGCAGGUCACCUUUAAAUUGCCUUUAAAAAGCCGACUGCUUUUAUGCUGUCUGUAGGGAGCCUCUGAUUUUAAUGUUUCAAUGAAAGGCUAUUCUUUUUUCCACUUUUUUUUCCUUUCCUUUCUCUCUCUCUCUCUCUCUCUCUCUCUUUUUUUUUUUUUUUUUGCCAGGCCAUACGGAGUGACACAAACAUUUUCAAUGGAGUGACAUAAAUAAUUUCAUGGACAAGUUAUUAUCGUCUCUGGAUAAACCAAUGAGGCACUCUGAAAUGAGAAGUUUUAGCAGUCUACCUUUCAGUUUGCUGCAAUUCAUUGAAGAGCCCAAGGCUAGAUUUACAUCUUUCUGGAUAAAUUCAGAGGCAUCUAGAGCUAUAGGACAGACAGGUCCAGUGGAAGAUGAAUGCAGAGGCUACGAGCAAGAGCAAGAAGGGAGACUAUUUUCAAAUGUGGUCAAACAAAUUCCCUGAGUGGAAUUCAGGUAGCUUCCUUAGUAGAAGAUGAUUUCCUGAUCUUCAUUCAGAGAAGCCUUAUUUCUAGCAGGAGUCUCAGAUCUAUCAUAGAAUUGACCUGUGGAUGCAAAAAUGAUGAUAAACACCAUUUCCCAGCCUGUUAUCUAGUAGUAAGCUUUCAACUAAUGGACACUGGAUAUUACACAACAAUUUUUCCCCCCAAAUCCUCUAUUUGGGAGCGUAUUUUUCAGCCAGGAGUGAGGUACUGCAGGAUCUACCAAUCUUCCUUCAAUAACAAAUACCUAUUGACUCAGUGCCUACUUUGUGACAACUAG
rnacentral:lncRNA from 1 species